UACGGCAGGCUUACACAUGCAAGUCGAGGGGUAACAGAGAAAAGCUUGCUUUUUUGCUGACGACCGGCGCACGGGUGCGUAACGCGUAUGCAAUCUACCUUUUGCUAAGGGAUAGCCCAGAGAAAUUUGGAUUAAUACCUUAUAGUAUGAUGACUUGGCAUCAAGAUAUCAUUAAAGAUUACGACAAAAGAUGAGCAUGCGUUCUAUUAGCUAGUUGGUGUGGUAACGGCAUACCAAGGCAACGAUAGAUAGGGGUCCUGAGAAGGAGAUCCCCCACACUGGUACUGAGACACGGACCAGACUCCUACGGGAGGCAGCAGUGAGGAAUAUUGGACAAUGGAGGCAACUCUGAUCCAGCCAUGCCGCGUGCAGGAAGACUGCCCUAUGGGUUGUAAACUGCUUUUAUACAGGAGGAAAUACCUCUACGUGUAGAGAUUUGACGGUACUGUAAGAAUAAGGAUCGGCUAACUCCGUGCCAGCAGCCGCGGUAAUACGGAGGAUCCAAGCGUNAUCCGGAAUCAUUGGGUUUAAAGGGUCCGUAGGUGGAUAAUUAAGUCAGAGGUGAAAUCCUGCAGCUUAACUGUAGA
rnacentral:rRNA from 1 species